rnacentral:tRNA from 1 species
UGCGGGGUGGAGCAGCCUGGUAGCUCGUCGGGCUCAUAACCCGAAGGUCGCAGGUUCAAAUCCUGCCCCCGCUAC